UUGGCCUAUUAGCUCAGCUGGUUAGAGCGUCGUGCUAAUAACGCGAAGGUCGCANUGUGCACGUUCUGCUCAUACUAAG